UACGAAGGGGGCGAGCGUUGUUCGGAAUUACUGGGCGUAAAGGGCGCGCAGGCGGCUCUGAAAAGUCAGAUGUGAAAGCCCCGGGCUUAACCUGGGAAUUGCAUUUGAUACUCUGGAGCUUGAGUACGGGAGAGGAGAGUGGAAUUCCCAGUGUAGAGGUGAAAUUCGUAGAUAUUGGGAAGAACACCGGUGGCGAAGGCGGCUCUCUGGACCGUAACUGACGCUGAGGCGCGAAAAGCGUGGGGAGCAAACAGG
rnacentral:rRNA from 1 species